UGGGGAAUUUUGCACAAUGGAGGAAACUCUGAUGCAGCGACGCCGCGUGAGUGAUGAAGAUCUUCGGAUUGUAAAACUCUGUCCUUAGUGAAGAUAAUGACAGUAACUAAGAAGCAAGCCCUGGCUAAAUACGUGCCAGCAGCCGCGGUAAUACGUAUGGGGCAAGCGUUGUCCGGAAUUAUUGGGCGUAAAGGGUACGGAGGCGGUUUAAUAAGUCCUAAUUAAAAGGCUAUGGCUCAACCAUAGUAUGGUUAGGAAACUGUUGAACUUGAGUAGAUGAGGGGAAAGUGGAAUUCCAUGUGUAGCGGUGAAAUGCGUAGAUAUAGAGAGGAACACCAAUGGCGAAGGCAACUUUCUGGAAUCAAACUGACGCUGAGGUACGAAGGCGUGGGGAGCAAACAGG
rnacentral:rRNA from 1 species